CAAUAGCGUAUAUUUAAGUUGUUGCAGUUAAAAAGCUCGUAGUUGGAUUUCGGUUAAGAGCGACCGGUCCGCCGUUUGGUGUGCACUGGUUGGUUUUACCUUCCUGUAGAGGACGUGCUCUGGGUUUAACGACCUGGACUCGGAGUCUACGUGGUUACUUUGAAAAAAUUAGAGUGUUCAAAGCGGGCUUACGCUUGAAUAUUUCAGCAUGGAAUAACACUAUAGGACUCCUGUCCUAUUUCGUUGGUCUCGGGACGGGAGUAAUGAUUAAGAGGAACAGUUGGGGGCAUUCGUAUUUCAUUGUCAGAGGUGAAAUUCUUGGAUUUAUGAAAGACGAACUUCUGCGAAAGCAUUUGCCAAGGAUGUUUUCAUUAA
rnacentral:rRNA from 1 species